UUUCCCUCAGGAUAGCUGGCACUCGCUUGAGCGAGUCUCAUCUGGUAAAGCGAAUGAUUAGAGGCCUUGGGGCCGAAACGACCUCAACCUAUUCUCAAACUUUAAAUGGGUGAGAUCUCUGGCUUGCUUGAACGUUGAAGCCACGAGAAAUAUGGAUCAGAGUGCCAAGUGGGCCAAUUUUGGUAAGCAGAACUGGCGCUGUGGGA
rnacentral:rRNA from 1 species